AACGAACGCUGGCGGCGUGCCUAACACAUGCAAGUCGAACGUGAAAGUCCUUCGGGAUGAGUAAAGCGGCGCACGGGUGAGUAACACGUAGGUGACCUGCCUUUUAGAGGGGAAUAACCAGAAGAAAUUUUGGCUAAUGCCGCAUACGAAGCACGGUUUUAAGACUGUGCUUGUAAGAAUGCCUCUGCAUAUGCAUUCACUAAAAGAUGGGCCUGCGGAACAUUAGCUAGUUGGUGGGGUAAAGGCCUACCGAGGCAACGAUGUUUAUCCGGUCUGAGAGUAUGAUCGGACAGACUGGAACUGAGACACGGUCCAGACUCCUACGGGAGGCAGCAGUGGGGAAUAUUGCGCAAUGGGGGAAACCCUGACGCAGCAACGCCGCGUGAGUGAGGAAGGACUUCGGUCUGUAAAGCUCUGUUAAUGUGGAAAAAUGGUAGUUGGUCUAAUAGGCCGAUUAUUUGAUGGUACACAUAGAGGAAGCACCGGCUAACUUCGUGCCAGCAGCCGCGGUAA
rnacentral:rRNA from 1 species